AACCAGCUGAUCUCUACAAUUUUAUGGAUCCAGACUGGGCUCCAACACAAAAUAUGGGCCACAACAAAAUAAAAAAUGCGGCGGUCAAUGACGCAAGCAGUUUUGGUCACAUGGUUGAAAACGAAGAAUUCAAAACCAAACCUGAGUUAGCCACAUUUCUUCUUGACAGUCUCAUGGGUGGUGGUGGCUACAGUGGAUGAGACCUGCACAGAAAGACAGGGAGAGAGAAAAACCAAACGUGGAUUAAUAUACAGUUUUCCUUCUCACAGCUUGCUCAAUGGAUAUUACCGCCAGAUCUAACAGUCUCUCCUGACACAUGGUGGACCUGAGAUAUGUCUUGAUUAAUUUCAAGGCAGAAAAACUCCUUUCCCCAGAAGCCACUGUGACAGGAAGUGUGAGGAGUACUCGAAGUGCAAUACUUAGAUUUGGGUAACAAUCCAGCAGGUUUUCUCUGAAUAUAUAGUUAAGCACAGUGACGGAUUUAGAAAUUUGGUGGUCCAAGGCGAAUUUAGCUAGGGGGCCCUUCAAAUCCUCUCUUUUAACAAGGACCUUUAACUAUGUGAGAAAGAAG